rnacentral:lncRNA from 1 species
UGACCCCGGCCUCAUUGUCGGUGGAUCCGGCCGCCCGGAGGCGAGGGGAGACCGGCUAUCACCCUCUCUACUCUUCUCUCCUUCUACGUCCGGCACCGCUACAACGACGGCCGCGCGGAUCGCGUGAGGCAACGGAUCGGCGGAGGCCUGCAACAACAACGGCCGCGCGGGCGAGCAAUCGAGGAGGCCGGGAAUCACCAGAUCCGGAAGGACGGCGGCCCGAUUCGGAGAGGGAGCAACCCGAUCUGUGUCAUUGAGGCUCAUUGUAAGUGUCGACGGCGGCCGUUCCUUCACAGUGAUCCAGGGUCGUUGGGUCUGUUGAGCUCGGUAUCGACGGCAGCAGUAGCUCGGGCAAGAUGGAAGAAACGUGUUAGACACGGCCUCCUCCGAGAGCAUACACCAGCGACGUGCAGGAGGCCGAGGCCAAAGCCGAUCUUCCCCAACCCCAUCUGGCAUUAUAACUUCGAGAAGGUCAGCCUGAUGGUGCAGAACUCUGGCUUGAGGAAGACAUGCUUCAGUGUUUCUCCAUGCACCGACAACACUAUCAUCCUGCCACCACAACACACAAAUCUGGCGAUGCUUCCACCUGCAUCUGCAUGCCCCUGGCUCCCUGCAUACAAGCCUCUUGCUAUUGACAGGAUUUUAUGGCAGGAAAGCUCCCAUAAGCUUCUUGGGAGGUUAGACUGCAGCAGUAAUGAAAGGUGCUGAUGAUGGAUCAUUUAGGAUAUUGUGUGCUUUGCCAGCGUUUCAGGUCCGGAUGCGGCAUCCACGUGGGCAGGCCGUUACCAUGAAGAUCAUGCCAUCGGAUUAGUUGUCCAUGUGCAUAGAUCAAAGAAAAAAAGAAGGUACAGAUGGCAAGUAUAUACUGAAGAUCUAUAUCUGUGGUCUACUACAGCUCAACUGUUGUAAACAAUACCUGUGAUGCAUCGUUCUUCCAAAGUUUCAUAGAUGGCCUUUGCAUUAAAUAGUAUAUCCAUAUCUUUUUUUAGUGAAUAGUACUUGCAAUUUUGAGUGUGUGCUUUCCAUCUCAUAAGGUUUCCAUGUUUCAUAAUGUCCUCUUGAGUUUAAUUUGAGUUUUC